rnacentral:rRNA from 1 species
AUACGGAGGGUGCAAGCGUUAAUCGGAAUUACUGGGCGUGAAGCGCUCGUAGGCGGCUUGUAAAGUCGGAUGUGAAAGCCCCGGGCUCAACCUGGGAACUGCAUUCGAUACUGGCAGGCUAGAGUAUAGUAGAGGCAAGUGGAAUUCCGGGUGUAGCGGUGAAAUGCGUAGAUAUCCGGAGGAACAUCAGUGGCGAAGGCGACUUGCUGGACUAAUACUGACGCUAAGGAGCGAAAGCGUGGGGAGCAAACGGGAUUAGAAACCCCUGUAGUCC